rnacentral:rRNA from 1 species
UAACGAACGCUGGCGGCAGGCCUAACACAUGCAAGUCGAGCGCACCUUCGGGUGAGCGGCGGACGGGUUAGUAACGCGUGGGAACGUGCCCAGAUCUAAGGAAUAGCCACUGGAAACGGUGAGUAAUACCUUAUACGCCCUUCGGGGGAAAGAUUUAUCGGAUUUGGAUCGGCCCGCGUUAGAUUAGAUAGUUGGUGGGGUAACGGCCUACCAAGUCUACGAUCUAUAGCUGGUUUUAGAGGAUGAUCAGCAACACUGGGACUGAGACACGGCCCAGACUCCUACGGGAGGCAGCAGUGGGGAAUCUUGGACAAUGGGCGCAAGCCUGAUCCAGCCAUGCCGCGUGAGUGAUGAAGGCCCUAGGGUCGCAAAGCUCUUUCAACUGUGAAGAUAAUGACGGUAGCAGUAGAAGAAACCCCGGCUAACUCCGUGCCAGCAGCCGCGGUAAUACGGAGGGGGUUAGCGUUGUUCGGAAUUACUGGGCGUAAAGCGCGCGUAGGCGGAUCAGAAAGUUGGGGGUGAAAUCCCAGGGCUCAACCCUGGAACUGCCUCCAAAACUCCUGGUC